rnacentral:rRNA from 1 species
AUUGAACGCUGGCGGCAUGCCUUACACAUGCAAGUCGAACGGCAGCACGGGUGCUUGCACCUGGUGGCGAGUGGCGAACGGGUGAGUAAUACAUCGGAACAUGUCCUGUAGUGGGAGAUAGCCCGGCGAAAGCCGGAUUAAUACCGCAUACGAUCUACGGAUGAAAGCGGGGGACCUUCGGGCCUCGCGCUAUCGGGUUGGCCGAUGGCUGAUUAGCUAGUUGGUGGGGUAAAGGCCUACCAAGGCGACGAUCAGUAGCUGGUCUGAGAGGACGACCAGCCACACUGGGACUGAGACACGGCCCAGACUCCUACGGGAGGCAGCAGUGGGGAAUUUUGGACAAUGGGCGAAAGCCUGAUCCAGCAAUGCCGCGUGUGUGAAGAAGGCCUUCGGGUUGUAAAGCACUUUUGUCCGGAAAGAAAUCCUUGGCUCUAAUACAGUCGGGGGAUGACGGUACCGGAAGAAUAAGCACCGGCUAACUACGUG